rnacentral:rRNA from 1 species
AGUGAACGCUGGCGAUAGGCCUAACACAUGCAAGUCGAACGGCAGCACAGUAAGAGCUUGCUCUUACGGGUGGCGAGUGGCGGACGGGUGAGGAAUACAUCGGAAUCUACUUUUUCGUGGGGGAUAACGUAGGGAAACUUACGCUAAUACCGCAUACGACCUACGGGUGAAAGCAGGGGAUCUUCGGACCUUGCGCGAUUGAAUGAGCCGAUGUCGGAUUAGCUAGUUGGCGGGGUAAAGGCCCACCAAGGCGACGAUCCGUAGCUGGUCUGAGAGGAUGAUCAGCCACACUGGAACUGAGAUACGGUCCAGACUCCUACGGGAGGCAGCAGUGGGGAAUAUUGGACAAUGGGCGCAAGCCUGAUCCAGCCAUACCGCGUGGGUGAAGAAGGCCUUCGGGUUGUAAAGCCCUUUUGUUGGGAAAGAAAAGCAGCAGGUUAAUACCCCGCUGUUCUGACGGUACCCAAAGAAUAAGCACCGGCUAACUUCGCG